CCUAAAUGUGAGGGUGGUAUGGGAUUUUGGGACCUCAAAUUAUUUAACCAGGCUCUCCUAGCUAAGCAAGCUUGUAGGUUAGUGGUUAAUCCUGAAUCUCUAUGCGCCAAAGUGAUUAAGGCAAAAUAUUAUCCACAGGGACAUAUCCUUGAUACAGUUUUCCCGCAGUCAGCUUCUCUUACUUGGCAAGGUAUUAUGCAUGGUUUG
rnacentral:rRNA from 1 species